ensembl:lncRNA
AUAUGGUACUGCAAGAAAACCUCCUAGGAACUGCUAGCAGUUUUAAGUCAAAGAUGUAACUUUUGAAACGUGUUGAUUUCAACAGUAAGGCACAGCUUUAACUUUGAAGAUGAACAUUCUUUGUUUCUCGUUUGCAUUAUAAGGUUCACUGCCACAUGGUUGUUAGUUAGCAAGUGUUUGCAGGCAAAUCAGCGCAAAGCAGCAACAAGGAGGUUUUUUUUCAAUCAAAACCCUCUUAACAAUUUAUUUCACCUAACAAUUGCUAGCAACCACAAAGUCAUUGGGGUAGUACAACCAAGUCUGAAAAGUUGAAUGUGGCUUGUAGUGUAAAGUGCUUUGAGUGGUUAGUGAAACUUAAAAAGCACUAUUUAAAUGCCAACCUUCUCCACAUGAUAGCUAGUUUAGUUUUGCACAGAAUUUGAGGUCUGCUGUCUCGAGGCCGUCAAAAUUUGAUUUCUGGGGACAGAAUGUAGCAGGAGUGCUGGAACCCAUCUGAUUGCACACAAGGACAUGGCCUUAGAAGGAUUAAAUUAGAAACCGAUUAAUUAAAAAACAAAUUAAAAUGCACCUGCUGGAUUUGUACCACUGAUUACAUCUUUAUCUGACUUAACAUUAAAAAACAAGUAACAAAACUUUUAUUUGACAUGUUUCUAGACUUGGCAAUCAGACACACAUAUACACACAUGUAACAGGACAGAAGAGAAGAGUAACUUUGUCAUUGAUUUUUCCAUUCAUGGUGACAUCAAGCAAUACAGAUCAUACUCAGCAGGUCACCCAACAACACAGUAUGAGCGUGUUUGCACGUGUACUGGAUGUCCUAGUGUAUUUUGCAUCACCCCAGAUGCCAUAAUUUAACAUAUAGAUGUAUAGGUGACAGUUUGUGAAAUCAUUCUUUCCCCUAAACAUGUUUAGUUCACUUUAGUUUAGUACCGUUAUCUCACAAAUACAACACUGUUUGUCCACCUCCAUACGUGUCCAGUUCCUUUUGAGAGUCCUCAGGUUGCUGCAUCAUUGACUAUGAUUGUAAAAACCUUUUUCUUCAUGCCUCAGCA